AGACAAUGUAAGCAUUUAGGGAAGGUCCAGCAGGCCUCGGGAACACGCUCUUUUCUUCUGGCUCCCAGUGAGGAGCUCUAGCUCCUCCCACUUAGAAAAGACCAAAAGCCAGAGUCUGUUAAGGCUUCUUAAGGGGCAUUCUGGACGAGGAGCAGUGAGAUAUCAGAUGGUACUCUUUCUACUCUGUGAGCAUGCUGAGCCAUGGGGAAGCUCCAGGUACAAAACUAGGAUGUGAGCCCCCUCCAUAUUUCUUUUGGCAGAUUCUGAAGACUUAGGCUCGGCACUCUCAGAAGGUCCAGGUAAAACUACAAGGUGUACGAGUGGAGGGAACACUCCUUAGGAUGCCUCAGGUCCAGUGGUCAGUGGAAAGGCAAGGAACCCCUAACCUCCUGCUCUCAUUUGAGCAGUGAAGGCCCAGUGUAAGAACCACUAUGACCUACUGCAUGAAAGAAUUGGGCCAUGCAGUCAUGGGAAAGAUGAUGGCCGAGGGAGGAAGAAUUCCGCAGUCUGAAGAAUCUUCACCCUGAUGACUGUGUUCUCUCUACUCUUAUAUUAUGAACUCAGCAUGCAUGUAUCAGUGUUUUGGGGCUGGAGCUGUUGUGGUUUUCUUGUUCUCUUAUGAACCAUACUGUUUGCAGAACCCUGUUCUGUUUAUUACCUUCUCAAUUUUAGAAUCUGAAGACCAGUUCCUGUGGAGGAGCUGGAUUCAGGUGACUGGAAGAUGAGUCUUAGGUCCAACCCUUUGUGGGAUGGUGAAAGUCACAGGUGAGAUAAGGACCAGAGCUCAGGGUGGCUCAUUCCUUUAUCUCUCCUUGCUCUCACAUACCCUGUAUCCUCUUUCAUGAUGCUCCUUCCCCGAUGGGGGAAGUAACCUCAUGGGAGGAAUUGAAUUGAGCUUAAAGUGAGAAGAGUGUUGAGAGAACUGUCAUUGUGCCCAGUCUUGUGAUCUCUGUUCAAAUGCUCCCAGCCUCACCAUUCCAGGGAUGCUCUGUUCUCCCCUUUUAAGCUUGUAUUUUCUCUGAAGCUUGCAGCAGUUAGGUGCCCUUGAUGUAUACCAGUAGCCUCUCCGAGCAGCAGGCCCUGGCUUGAUACAUAUAAUACAUGCUACCAUCCUCCUGUCUGGAGGCCCUGAGCCUUGUGCACAGAGCAGUGACUGGAGCCCAGCAAUUCAUCACUCCAGGAGUUCAAAAUCAACUUUGUUAGGUGCCAGGACAGAUGUUAGGCUGUACAUGUACUCAGAGGGUAUGGUUUGACAGAUUUUGACAUGUCAUGGGUGACAUUACCACUGUGAAGAUAAUUAACAGACCAAUUACCCACAUAUACUUUCUUCCUGACCCCUAUCUGCCUCUGUCUUGCAGUGUGAACUGAGGUACAGAAAACCCUGGAAGUUCUGUGAAUUGGCAUCACUUCCUUUGUAUGUAUCUGGCAGAAUUCAUCAGUGGAGUUAUUCUCAUGAGAGGUCCUGUACUUAAAGUUCAGGCAUUCUAGGGUCACCUGCUUCUUCUAAGAUGUGAUUUGAUAGUUGGUAUCUUUUAGUUUUAUUGGUAGAAUUUGUUUUAAGACUUCUCCAUGUCUGCUGGAUGUCAGAAGAGUCCACAAUGGGACCACUUCUCUCCUUUCUGAUAUAGGCAUUUAUACUCUACCCUCCUGGUCUGGAUAGAUGUUUACUAACUUAAAAAAAAACUUAAAAGAAUUAGGCUUGGGUGGCAUUGUUUUUGCUUCUUUUUUCCAUCCUUGUAUCAUUUUUGUUUGUUUCUUGGUGUGCUGGUUACUUCUUGUCAAAUUGACACAAACUUAGGAAGAGGAAAUAUCAAUUGAGGAAUGGUGUCUCCAUCAGAUUGGCAUUUGGCAAGUCUAUGGAGACAUUUUCAUUAUUAAUGAUUAACACUGGAGGGCCUAGCCCAGGAACUACCUGAGCAGGUGUUCCUGGGUUGUAUAGGGGAAAGGCAAGCUGUUGGAGCCAUUGGAGAGCAAGGCAGUAAAAAGCAUUCCUCCAUGGUCUCUGCUUUAGUUCUUGUCUCUAGGUUCCUGCCUUGAGUUCCUUCCUCUAGGAUAGUCUAUAAAGUGCAAACUGAAACAAGCCCUUUCCUCCUGAAGUUGCUUUGGGUGUUUAUCUUAGUGAUAGAAAAGCAAACUAAGACAUUCUGCUUGCUUUGGCUUCAUUUGCUCUUAUUUUUUCAGCUCUAUGAAUUAAAAUGAAACUUCCUGAGGUAGAAGCUAAGGUUAUUUUAGAUGUCCUUUCUAAAUGUAGACAUUUUCAUGCUAUGGCUUUUCCUCUAAUAGGGCUUUAAGCUGCAAACACUGAUACUCUUACUUCUCUUAAUGCUUUUCUCUCCUUUUUAUUGUUUUCAUUUUUAUUAAUUAAAAUACUUCCACUUUAAAAAUCUGUGAAUGGCUUAGAAUUCUCUCAAAUUAAAAUUCUCAAAUAUCCAUUUCCCUGAUGUUUUAUGGCAUUGAUUUUUAGUUCAAUUUUUUUUGAUAACUAGAGGCUAGAGUUGGUUUGACUUGUAGCUUUAAAAUUUAUUAAAAAUAUAUGAUUGGACCACAAUGCUAUAAGGCAAGAAUCUACAUAGUAGGGAAGGACAUGUGUCUGUGACUGCUGUUUUCUUUAAUGUCUUUUCAGUGUUUCUAGAAUACACAUUGAGCUUAGCACAGUCUGUCUUCAAGUAAACUGGCAUACAAUUCAUUAUGGUAAAAGAAACAUGCCAGUGUAGUUCCAUUUCUCCCAUGGGGCAUAUACUGUUGUUGCACAUUUUACUUGUCCAUGUUAUAUAGAACUUGUAUCUGCUAUAUAUAGAAUGCAUAUUUACCUUAAACAGGCAUUUGCUUGUCCAAGAUAUUUAAAUAAUAGUGACAAUCUUUUGGUUGUUCUGUUCUGAUGUUCUUGACCUUGGGUUGAACUUCCAUUUGAUGUGUGGGUCCAGGCUUAGUGGGGAUUUCAUGGGGGCUGGGAGACAGUAUUGUGGAAACUUCUACUGUUGGGAGGAGAACUUGAGGUGCUACCUGCUCCUGCUUCUUUCUCACCUGAGAUUUCUUAUCCUGGAGUUUUCCUGGGUUCCCAUUAUUUCAGAGACACUUGUCUGGAGCAGUUACACACUGCAGGUGGUUGCUUUGGUCAUGAGAUGCAGAUGCCUUCCAAGGUCCCUCUGAUUCCAGGGGUUAGGAGCCAUGCCUUCCAGAACAGGUAUAGAACAUGAUUCUUCUGGGGUCAGUCAGAAAUGGGUGCGUUUUCUUUAGUAAAAUCAUGGUGAUGGCUGGGCUUUGGUGGCACACACCUUUAAUCCCGGUGCUUGGGAGGCAGAGGCAGGCGGAUCUUUGUGAGUUCGAGGCCAGCCUGAUCUACAGAGUGAGUUCUGGGACAGGUUCCAAAGCAAUACAGAGAAACUGUCUCGAAAAAAAAAUCAUAGUGAUGAGGCAGUUUCUUUGAGAUAUUAGUCACCAGCAACAAAACUCUCUCAGAAAAGGGCACUUAUUGGCUAGCAUCUCAACACUAAUGUAGUUACCACUGGACUUUAUUAAUCUCUCAGUAAGCUUCAAUUCAGCACAUUACAGUACUUUUUGAAAUAGUUCUGGGGCUGCCUAACAAAGUAUUAAACCUGAGUAGUUUCAAUGGUCCUCAGAUCUGGAGGCCAGUGUGGGAUUCUAAGCUUCUCAGGGUAGUGAUAUGUCUGCUUGAAGGAGCUGGUGAUGGCCCUGGGGAGCCUCUAUGCCUCUCGUCACUUUUCUGCUGGCAUUCUGGAUACACUGGGCUCACUGCCUUACAGCAAUCACAUGGAUCCAUCUUCUAGUGUUUUCUAUCAUCUUUCCCCGUGUCUCUAGGUUCACAAUGCCCCCCACUCCAAUCCUUUUAUAAGGAUAUUAGUUAUUUUGGCUUAAGGUCCACACCAGUGACCUAACUUUAAUUUGAUUGAAUCUGAAAUUACCCCAUUUCCAAGUGAGAUAUCAUUCUCAGACCCCAUAAGGGUGUUUAUUUAUUAAGACUCAUAUGACAUAGCUGCUGCCUGUCCAGCCUAGGCCCUGUGGUGUGUGUCCAUAAUAAAGAAUAGUUUAACAGUUGAAACACUUGUGCUUGCUUUCUGUGGUACUUUAAAUAUUUGUGUUAAAAUUGUAGAUCAGAAAUAAAUAAUUACAGUAAUAUGAGUAGAACUAUGAAGGAAAUAUUUGUUAUAUUGAUUUUCUGACAUAUUCUUAGAGUUUUAUGUAUUUAAAACAACAAAACUGUGUGUCUGCUUUCUGUAAAUAUAUCAAACACAUGAUAUAUUCACUGUAAGGAGAAAAAGAUUUAUUUGCCUCAAUGUUUUUAGAGGUUUAAUCCAUGAUCAGCAGCAGACUUGGGCCUAUGGCAAGGCAGCACAUCAUGGGAGGACCACGUGCAGGGGCAAAGCCCUUACCUCAUCAAACAGGCAACAAAAAGUUACCCAAGACUUCCCGCUAGACACCUUAAAGACUCCAUUCUUCACGGAGAGUGCAGGCUAAGGAGUCUCAGUGGGUGAGAAGGAAGUGAGGGGGGCACCUCCUCAAGUUUCUGAUUCUCCUCAUAAUAGCAGGUUUCCAUAGUACCAGCUCCCAGCCUGGUGAUAGAGACACUUAGUCUAGACCCAUCUUUCUCCCAAUAGUGC
rnacentral:lncRNA from 1 species